rnacentral:rRNA from 1 species
CCUGAUGCAGCGACGCCGCGUGAGGGAUGACGGCCUUCGGGUUGUAAACCUCUUUCACCCAUGACGAAGCGCAAGUGACGGUAGUGGGAGAAGAAGCACCGGCCAACUACGUGCCAGCAGCCGCGGUAAUACGUAGGGUGCGAGCGUUGUCCGGAAUUACUGGGCGUAAAGAGCUCGUAGGCGGUUUGUCGCGUCGUCUGUGAAAUCCCGCAGCUCAACUGCGGGCUUGCAGGCGAUACGGGCAGACUCGAGUACUGCAGGGGAGACUGGAAUUCCUGGUGUAGCGGUGAAAUGCGCAGAUAUCAGGAGGAACACCGGUGGCGAAGGCGGGUCUCUGGGCAGUAACUGACGCUGAGGAGCGAAAGCGUGGGUAGCGAACAGGAUUAGAUACCCUGGUAGUCCACGCCGUAAACGGUGGGCGCUAGGUGUGGGUUUCCUUCCACGGGAUCCGUGCCGUAGCCAACGCAUUAAGCGCCCCGCCUGGGGAGUACGGCCGCAAGGCUAAAACUCAAAGGAAUUGACGGGGGCCCGCACAAGCGGCGGAGCAUGUGGAUUAAUUCGAUGCAACGCGAAGAACCUUACCUGGGUUUGACAU